GACGAACGCUGGCGGCGUGCUUAACACAUGCAAGUCGAACGGCAAGGCCCUGCUUUUGUGGGGUGCUCGAGUGGCGAACGGGUGAGUAACACGUGAGUAACCUGCCCUUGACUUUGGGAUAACUUCAGGAAACUGGGGCUAAUACCGGAUAGGAGCUCCUGCUGCAUGGUGGGGGUUGGAAAGUUUCGGCGGUUGGGGAUGGACUCGCGGCUUAUCAGCUUGUUGGUGGGGUAGUGGCUUACCAAGGCUUUGACGGGUAGCCGGCCUGGGAGGGUGACCGGCGAAAUUGGGACUGAGAUACGGCCCAGACUCGUACGGGAGGCAGCAGUGGGGAAUAUUGCACAAUGGGCGGAAGCCUGAUGCAGCAACGCCGCGUGCGGGAUGACGGCCUUCGGGUUGUAAACCGCUUUCGCCUGUGACGAAGCGUGAGUGACGGUAAUGGGUAAAGAAGCACCGGCUAACUACGUG
rnacentral:rRNA from 1 species